CAAGGCCGGAAUGAAGAAACUAGAGGGGCACUCUAUAGCAACAAAGUUAUUACACCCCCUGCUCAGCUACAGAACCACGCCACAUACAACCACCAAUAUUACACCCGCAGAGUUAUUAAUGAAGCGACGUCUCAGGACACGGUUAAGCCUCAUAAGGCCACAAUUAGGGGGCAGGUAGAGAGAAGUCAGGAGGCUCAGAAAAAUGUACAUGUGAAAGAAACGUCACUGUUGGGGAAGUCAUUUUCACAAAGAACUUUGGAGAUGGGCCCAAAUGGCUAUCAGGUGAAGUCAGUGCAGUGACAGGACCCCUAUCCUACCAUAAUUGGUUGAAGGUCCAAUGAUCGGGAGACAUGUAGAUCUCAGGAAACAGGAAAAUGAUCCACAAGAAAAGUUGUGCCAAGCAUUUCUGUUGGAGUCUACACCACAGGUAGAAGGAACUCCUCUUGCUUUGGAAGUACCUGCAGAACCCGUUGAGCCGGAGAGAGUCGAAGAGGUAAACUUAUAGGUUCCAACUGGGGAGCCUAGUGGACAGAUAACUCCUGAGAGGGAGGCCUCAGAUAAACCAUCCAAAGUGGUAGAACUACAGCAGUCAACAUGUUUGAAAAAGCCUCCAGAGAGACUGAAUCUCAAUAAGUAUCAGCAAGGAUAUUGGGGAGCACUCAUGCGCUGUUCUUCAAGUAGUCUCACUGAACCUUUGAACUCACCUGAGAGAGCAAGUAGAACCUCGGUUACCAAAAUAAGAUGAACUAGACACAGGAAUCCACAACAGAAUGCAGAGCUGAAGACCACGAAGCAAAGGUUCA